rnacentral:rRNA from 1 species
GACGAACCGUGCGAACGUUAUUCGGAAUCACUGGGCUUAAAGGGUGCGUAGGCGGGUUGCCAAGUCUGUGGUGAAAUCCUUCGGCUUAACCGAAGAACUGCCGUGGAUACUGGCGACCUCGAGGGGGAUAGGGGCUUGCGGAACUGUGCGUGGAGCGGUGAAAUGCGUUGAUAUGCACAGGAACUCCGGUGGCGAAGGCGGCGAGCUGGAUCCCUUCUGACGCUGAGGCACGAAAGCUAGGGGAGCGAACGGG